rfam:Triticum aestivum genome assembly, contig: Triticum_aestivum_CS42_TGACv1_scaffold_050491_1BS
AUAAUACUCCCCCUGUCCCAAAAUUCUUGUCUUAAAUUUGUCUAAAUACGGAUGCAUGUAAUACUAAACAGUAACUUGAUACAUCCGUAUUUAGACAAAUAUAAGACAAGAAUUUUGGGACGGAGGGAGUAUAUA